rnacentral:rRNA from 1 species
GUUAAGCGACUAAGCGUACACGGUGGAUGCCCUGGCAGUCAGAGGCGAUGAAGGGCGUGCUAAUCUGCGAUAAGCGCCGGUAAGGUGAUAUGAACCGUUAUAACCGGCGAUACCCGAAUGGGGAAACCCAGUGUGAUUCGUCACACUAUCAUUAACUGAAUCCAUAGGUUAAUGAGGCGAACCGGGGGAACUGAAACAUCUAAGUACCCCGAGGAAAAGAAAUCAACCGAGAUUCCCCCAGUAGCGGCGAGCGAACGGGGAGGAGCCCAGAGCCUGAAUCAGCAUGUGUGUUAGUGGAAGCGUCUGGAAAGGCGCGCGAUACAGGGUGACAGCCCCGUACACAAAAGCGCAUGUGCUGUGAGCUCGAUGAGUAGGGCGGGACACGUGGUAUCCUGUCUGAAUAUGGGGGGACCAUCCUCCAAGGCUAAAUACUCCUGACUGACCGAUAGUGAACCAGUACCGUGAGGGAAAGGCGAAAAGAACCCCGGCGAGGGGAGUGAAAAAGAACCUGAAACCGUGUACGUACAAGCAGUGGGAGCACCCUUCGGGGUGUGACUGCGUACCUUUUGUAUAAUGGGUCAGCGACUUAUAUUCUGUAGCAAGGUUAACCGUAUAGGGGAGCCGGAGGGAAACCGAGUCUUAACCGGGCGUUAAGUUGCAGGGUAUAGACCCGAAACCCGGUGAUCUAGCCAUGGGCAGGUUGAAGGUUGGGUAACACUAACUGGAGGACCGAACCGACUAAUGUUGAAAAAUUAGCGGAUGACCUGUGGCUGGGGGUGAAAGGCCAAUCAAACCGGGAGAUAGCUGGUUCUCCCCGAAAGCUAUUUAGGUAGCGCCUCGUGAAUUCAUCUCCGGGGGUAGAGCACUGUUUCGGCUAGGGGGCCAUCCCGGCUUACCAACCCGAUGCAAACUGCGAAUACCGGAGAAUGUUAUCACGGGAGACACACGGCGGGUGCUAACGUCCGUCGUGAAGAGGGAAACAACCCAGACCGCCAGCUAAGGUCCCAAAGUCAUGGUUAAGUGGGAAACGAUGUGGGAAGGCCCAGACAGCCAGGAUGUUGGCUUAGAAGCAGCCAUCAUUUAAAGAAAGCGUAAUAGCUCACUGGUCGAGUCGGCCUGCGCGGAAGAUGUAACGGGGCUAAACCAUGCACCGAAGCUGCGGCAGCGAACGUAUCACCCAAGACAACUUUACGGAGUUGACGAUUGACGGAGCGAAGCGACGUCAAAGCGUUCAUUAAAGUCGAGUUGGCUUAGGGAUACGUUCGUUGGGUAGGGGAGCGUUCUGUAAGCCUGUGAAGGUGUGUCGUGAGGCAUGCUGGAGGUAUCAGAAGUGCGAAUGCUGACAUAAGUAACGAUAAAGCGGGUGAAAAGCCCGCUCGCCGGAAGACCAAGGGUUCCUGUCCAACGUUAAUCGGGGCAGGGUGAGUCGACCCCUAAGGCGAGGCCGAAAGGCGUAGUCGAUGGGAAACGGGUUAAUAUUCCCGUACUUGGUGUUACUGCGAAGGGGGGACGGAGAAGGCUAUGUUGGCCGGGCGACGGUUGUCCCGGUUUAAGCGUGUAGGUGUGUGUUCCAGGUAAAUCCGGUUCACUUUAACACUGAGGCGUGACGACGAGGCACUACGGUGCUGAAGCAACAAAUGCCCUGCUUCCAGGAAAAGCCUCUAAGCAUCAGGUAACAUCAAAUCGUACCCCAAACCGACACAGGUGGUCAGGUAGAGAAUACCAAGGCGCUUGAGAGAACUCGGGUGAAGGAACUAGGCAAAAUGGUGCCGUAACUUCGGGAGAAGGCACGCUGACACGUAGGUGAAGUGAUUUACUCAUGGAGCUGAAGUCAGUCGAAGAUACCAGCUGGCUGCAACUGUUUAUUAAAAACACAGCACUGUGCAAACACGAAAGUGGACGUAUACGGUGUGACGCCUGCCCGGUGCCGGAAGGUUAAUUGAUGGGGUCAGCGCAAGCGAAGCUCCUGAUCGAAGCCCCGGUAAACGGCGGCCGUAACUAUAACGGUCCUAAGGUAGCGAAAUUCCUUGUCGGGUAAGUUCCGACCUGCACGAAUGGCGUAAUGAUGGCCAGGCUGUCUCCACCCGAGACUCAGUGAAAUUGAACUCGCUGUGAAGAUGCAGUGUACCCGCGGCAAGACGGAAAGACCCCGUGAACCUUUACUAUAGCUUGACACUGAACAUUGAGCCUUGAUGUGUAGGAUAGGUGGGAGGCUUUGAAGUGUGGACGCCAGUCUGCAUGGAGCCGACCUUGAAAUACCACCCUUUAAUGUUUGAUGUUCUAACGUGGACCCGUAAUCCGGGUUGCGGACAGUGUCUGGUGGGUAGUUUGACUGGGGCGGUCUCCUCCUAAAGAGUAACGGAGGAGCACGAAGGUUGGCUAAUCCUGGUCGGACAUCAGGAGGUUAGUGCAAUGGCAUAAGCCAGCUUGACUGCGAGCGUGACGGCGCGAGCAGGUGCGAAAGCAGGUCAUAGUGAUCCGGUGGUUCUGAAUGGAAGGGCCAUCGCUCAACGGAUAAAAGGUACUCCGGGGAUAACAGGCUGAUACCGCCCAAGAGUUCAUAUCGACGGCGGUGUUUGGCACCUCGAUGUCGGCUCAUCACAUCCUGGGGCUGAAGUAGGUCCCAAGGGUAUGGCUGUUCGCCAUUUAAAGUGGUACGCGAGCUGGGUUUAGAACGUCGUGAGACAGUUCGGUCCCUAUCUGCCGUGGGCGCUGGAGAACUGAGGGGGGCUGCUCCUAGUACGAGAGGACCGGAGUGGACGCAUCACUGGUGUUCGGGUUGUCAUGCCAAUGGCACUGCCCGGUAGCUAAAUGCGGAAGAGAUAAGUGCUGAAAGCAUCUAAGCACGAAACUUGCCCCGA